UUAACUUAUUAUAUAGUACUCAGACGACACAUAACACAAAAUUUAGGGGCUUUCGGCAGGCACGACGCGGGCGAACCCGGACGCCCCAUGGUGAGGGCAACCUGCCAAAGCAACAAUAGUAAUUAAACAGGGUGGGAGGUCUACCCCGAAGGGCAUGAUCUCUGUAAUGAUCCUUCCGCUGGUUCACCAACGGAAA
rnacentral:misc_RNA from 1 species